GGCAGCCGGGGCCCAGGGGAGCCUGGGGGGGACCUGAGGACAUUUUGUUCCACACCCCUGAGCUCUGGCCCUGCCUUAGCCCCUCAGCCAAACCUCCCCUUGCCCAGGGCCAGGCAUUUUGGAAGGAGGAGCCAGGAGCUCUUUCACUCUGGGCUCUCCACGGUCCCCAUGGAAUUGAGGCUGGGCCAUCAACCAACUUUUAUGUGACUCGGGCAAGUCACUGUACCCCAUUUUUUCUUCCAUAGAAUGUGGAAAAUCACCUCUUCCUCUCAGGUGGCCGUGAGAAGAGAUUUGUAUUGGGGUCUCUGGGAUGCCUUUCCUGUCCCCCCACCUUAAAGUGGCUCAGAAACCGCCUGAUUGCUGCAAAUGCCAGGAAAUUGCCUGCCUGUUCCCCAGCCCCCAGCACCCAGGCCAAGCUUGACAGAGUGAGCGCUUUGCACUUGUUGAAGGACUGAAGGAACCAUCCAACGGACCUAGUCGCACCCAGACAGACGCCUGGGAUUCUAAGGUUUGCGUUUUAUCUGUGACAUGCCCAGCCUAGAGCCUGGCACACAGCAGGUGCUCAAUAAAUAUCUAUAUGAAUUAGGAGGAAACCAAAAACCAGAGAAGGGAAGGGAAAGGACCCUUGGCCGCAUGGCGAGUCUGGGACAGCCUGAGCCUCCCUGGCCUGCCUCACACAGACUGUCCAACCCAUCUCUUCUCAAAGCUGAAAAAUAUUUUCGUCUCUACCUGAUGUGACUGAGUGACUGCUGGAGCCUUGCUGUGACCCUGAGGCAGCAGAUAUGUCAAAAAACAGCCUUUCAAGAAUGGUGGAACAGCAAAAUUGAGACUCUGGGUCCGUGACAUCACUGAGCUGCUCCCCCAAGCUGGUCUUUUUGAUAUGUGAGGAAAAUAAA